UGAAACUAUUCUGUCUCACUGGCCGAGUUUCAAUCACAGUUUUGCACAAAACCUUUUCUGGACAAGUUGAGAAAACACGAUUGCGAAUGUGUCUGUGUUUCCACUGCAGGUUAAUGGAAAUGCAACUACUGGUAUUUUUGCUGUGAUUGUGGGAAAAAAAAGAAUAUUUUCUGACGUGAAAGACGAUCAAAGCGAAGCAUGAAUGAGGGCGGAGUUAUACUCAGACAGAAGUAAGAACGAUGUGUCGUCCAACCUGGAAAUCAAAAAUGUUUAUAUCUGAUAAACAGCCAGUCGUUAUAAAUAUAAAUAAAAAUGUGGAUAACUGCACAUUCUUCUUUGGAAAGACACUCAUCUCGUUCAUUCGGUUGACAAGUUGUUCCCGUCUCACCUCUGCACAGCUGCCCGCUCGCCGUGCGAGGAGGGUGUGAACGUCAGAACUUUGGUUCUGGAAAAGUUACAGAGAAAGGUGUGAAAUAAAAAGCGUCUGAGGAGCAGAUGUGACGAAGCGUUCCAGCUACUUUAAGACGUUUGUUUGACUUUGAAGUGGAUGUUCCACCUGCAGUUCAUAUGGUGACGCUACAGAACUCAGGGACGCUCUGUCGUCCUGUCGGGUGGCGGACGCCGUAAUAUGAAGUCGUCUUUGGCGCCAAGAUCUUUGCAGCAGAUUAGUUAACGGCGUUCCACUAGUGAACAUCUUGUUACCAAAAUAUAAAAUUGGAGAUCCUCUACAUCUUUAACUUUUCAAACUUGAGUUUCUUUAAGAAAUUGUGAAGUAAAUUUUGGGAGCUAUGGUGCCGACCAUGAGCCGACCAUGAGCCGACCAUGAGCCUUGGACCUUUGUUGCAUCAUCUCUCUAUCGUUAAAGAGAUCUAAUAAAACACAUAAAAACAGCCAAAAUAUAAUUGUAGAAACUUGAAUUGCUGCAGCUUGUACCUCAGAGUGCGUUUGUGAAUUCGAUGCUCGUUCCUUCUUGGUGACGAAGUUUAUCUGUUUCUUUGCUGCCAGUGGAAGUUUGAUUCUUACGAUAAAUAAAAACUAUUUGAACUAAUAAAACUGGUUUUACGAGACAAAUGAAACUUUGCUUUUUUUUUUUUUCUUCCAUUUUUAAAGUGCAGACACACGGACGUAAUUAACCAUUUGUUCUUCCAGUGACAGUGAUCUGUGUGUUUCAUGCGAGGCGGCGGCGUAGCUGGACUCAGUUAGCACAUGCUAACACUUACAGAGGACCGGGGGGAACAUCUCACCGCUCAUGUGUUCAGAGCUUGGACUCAAAUGAAAGCAGGUCUGCAGGAUGAUAGAAACCAAACCGCAGCUGUCCUGACACCGCGGCCUGAGAGAGGAUGAUGAUGCAUCGAGGUAAAACACGAUAUAAUUCACCUCGGUAACGGAGGAGCAGCAGACGGAGGCGGGAAAGUGAAGAUAUGGAGCGCCAUCUCCACGGCGACCUGUUCCAGAGCGAAGUUUAUUUGACAGCGCUGCCAGGACACAUCCGGACAGAACCACCUCCACGUCCAGAUCAACAUCUACCUGCCUCCGUGUGACCACAGUCUGACUGAGACUCAAGGCUUUAGUUUUGUGGUUUUUAAAAUUGUAUUUCAUCAUUUCAUAGUUGAC